CCAAGGAGUUUAUCGUGUGCGCGAGUCAUUGGGCGUUGAAAACCCAAAGGCGCAAUGAAAGUGAAGUGCCACGCAAGUGGCUGAUGUGCGAUGUUGUGUUCCACGGCACACGACCGCAGCAUGGCCCCAUCCUGGCUGCUUGCAGCGGGGUGGAGGAAGAGCGUGCGCGAUGAGACCCGAAAGAUGGUGAACUAUUCCUGAGCAGGAUGAAGCCAGAGGAAACUCUGGUGGAAGUCCGAAGCGAUUCUGACGUGCAAAUCGAUCGUCUGACUUGGGUAUAGGGGCGAAAGACUAAUCGAACCAUC
rnacentral:rRNA from 1 species